rnacentral:tRNA from 1 species
AGUAAAAUGGCUGAUUUUAAGGUGAUAAAUUGUAAAUUUAUUAAUGAGGUAUCUCUUUUACUA